GACGGGAGCUUGCUCCCUUAGGUCAGCGGCGGACGGGUGAGUAACACGUGGGUAACCUGCCUGUAAGACUGGGAUAACUCCGGGAAACCGGGGCUAAUACCGGAUGCUUGAUUGAACCGCAUGGUUCAAUCAUAAAAGGUGGCUUUUAGCUACCACUUACAGAUGGACCCGCGGCGCAUUAGCUAGUUGGUGAGGUAACGGCUCACCAAGGCGACGAUGCGUAGCCGACCUGAGAGGGUGAUCGGCCACACUGGGACUGAGACACGGCCCAGACUCCUACGGGAGGCAGCAGUAGGGAAUCUUCCGCAAUGGACGAAAGUCUGACGGAGCAACGCCGCGUGAGUGAUGAAGGUUUUCGGAUCGUAAAACUCUGUUGUUAGGGAAGAACAAGUACCGUUCGAAUAGGGCGGUACCUUGACGGUACCUAACCAGAAAGCCACGGCUAACUACGUGCCAGCAGCCGCGGUAAUACGUAGGUGGCAAGCGUUGUCCGGAAUUAUUGGGCGUAAAGCGCGCGCAGGCGGUUUCUUAAGUCUGAUGUGAAAGCCCCCGGCUCAACCGGGGAGGGUCAUUGGAAACUGGGGAACUUGAGUGCAGAAGAGGAGAGUGGAAUUCCACGUGUAGCGGUGAAAUGCGUAGAGAUGUGGAGGAACACCAGUGGCGAAGGCGACUCUCUGGUCUGUAACUGACGCUGAGGCGCGAAAGCGUGGGGAGCGAACAGGAUUAGAUACCCUGGUAGUCCACGCCGUAAACGAUGAGUGCUAAGUGUUAGAGGGUUUCCGCCCUUUAGUGCUGCAGCAAACGCAUUAAGCACUCCGCCUGGGGAGUACGGUCGCAAGACUGAAACUCAAAGGAAUUGACGGGGGCCCGCACAAGCGGUGGAGCAUGUGGUUUAAUUCGAAGCAACGCGAAGAACCUUACCAGGUCUUGACAUCCUCUGACAACCCUAGAGAUAGGGCUUCUCCUUCGGGGGCAGAGUGACAGGUGUGCAUGAUGUCGUCAGCUCGUGUCGUGAGAUGUUGGUAGUACUGCACGAGCGCAUCUUGAUCUACUGCAGCAUCAGUGGGCACUCUAGUGACUGCGGUGACAACCGGAGAAAGGUGGGGAUGACGUCAAUCA
rnacentral:rRNA from 1 species